ACGAACCGUCCUAACGUUGUUCGGAUUCACUGGGCUUAAAGGGCGCGUAGGCGGAUUCGAAAGUCCGGGGUGAAAUCUUUGGGCUCAACCGGAAAAGUGCCUUGGAAACUACGAGUCUCGAGGGGGGUAGGGGCCUGUGGAACUUCGGGUGGAGCGGUGAAAUGCGUUGAUAUCCGAAGGAACGCCGGUGGCGAAAGCGACGGGCUGGACCCCUUCUGACGCUGAGGCGCGAAAGCCAGGGGAGCAAACGGGA
rnacentral:rRNA from 1 species